CCACGAAAUUUAAUUCAGGAUAGUCGAAAAGUGGCGUGUCGGUCCGCAGCUUCUCGGUGAAUUUAAAGAUUGACUAAGCGUGUAGUGCCAAAGGUUAAGCUUUUCUGGACGGGGGUUCAACUCCCCCCAGCUCCACCA
rnacentral:tmRNA from 1 species